CCCCCACAGCCCAUCAUCCUCAGUGGUUACUAUCAUACCCCAGAAACAAAAGGAAAGCAUUCUUCCAAUCUGGGACGGAACCACAACUUACUGUUUUUAGGUAUUCUCUCCAAGCACUUUUUGCUAUCAUCUUACACAGUAAGAAAAAGAAAUCCUACUCUGCUAAGCUUGUUCCAGGAAUGAGGUGGUAAGCAAUGCCAGAGGCCAAUGGCCGUGUCAGGUUAUAACAAUUGUUUGUUCCGUUCCACUCACAAAACCUACGGCCGUGUUCUACAAGAAGUAGUUUGAAUGACCCACACCUCCAUUUACUGAAGUACUGAAAUGUGUGGGUGAGCCCACAGAGCUCAGCGGUGUGCAACAUGAGAAGUCAAAGUGCUUCACAGUGGAAUUUAUUUGAGAAUAUGUACAGCUGCAAGAUGAAGAACAGGAGAAGUUCCUUUUUUGGGGAUAUUGAAAGACAAGAACUUUGUACAUGGCGGAGAGAAGAGAUAAGAAACAUGCAUGCAAAAACAACAUGGUUGACACAAGCAAAGCCAUUGACUAAAAGUG
ensembl:lncRNA